rnacentral:rRNA from 1 species
UGGGGAAUAUUGGGCAAUGGGCGCAAGCCUGACCCAGCCAUGCCGCGUGAGUGAUGAAGGCCUUCGGGUCGUAAAGCUCUGUGGGGAGGGACGAAACCGCUCACCGCUAAUACCGGUGGGCCUUGACGGUACCUCCUUAGCAAGCACCGGCUAACUCCGUGCCAGCAGCCGCGGUAAUACGGAGGGUGCAAACGUUGCUCGGAAUCAUUGGGCGUAAAGCGCACGUAGGCGGCCCGCUAAGUCGGAUGUGAAAUCCCUCGGCUCAACCGAGGACGUGCAUUCGAUACUGGCAGGCUUGAGUAUGGAAGAGGGUCGCGGAAUUCCCGGUGUAGAGGUGAAAUUCGUAGAUAUCGGGAGGAACACCAGUGGCGAAGGCGGCGACCUGGGCCAAUACUGACGCUGAGGUGCGAAAGCGUGGGGAGCAAACAGGAUUAGAUACCCCCGUAGUCC